GCGAGUGAGGCCAAAAAUAAAAUAAAUAAACAGGAAUGCAAAUUUUAAAACCAAAAAUUUUUAAAUACAAACUAAGAUUUCUGGAAGAUUCCUUGGAAAAGUCUCAUACCCAACGAGGAGUUAUGUAUGGUCAUUAGAGUGGAAGCAUCCAUGCCCCAGAGAGGGACACGGGUCUCUCCUGGUCUCUCUGGCCCCAAGACUCCUGUGAGAGCGAUCGGACAGGGGAAGCCCAGCUUAGGGGGACAAGCCCAGCUCUGUCCUCUCAAGGUGUGCCCCUGGGGGGGGACGCUCCCCAUCCGAGCCUGUUUCACUCUUGGAACUGAGGAUCCGCGGACUUGCGAGGUAUGCCAGGGGUUGGGGUUAGGGUUCGAGAGAGCGCAACAGUCACUGCACCAGGGGUUUUUCUUUGUAAUCUUAUCGCAUCUCCCUUAAAAUGUACUCAUAACUAGAUGAGCACGAACGGCUGCAAGGCCCGGGACCUGCCGAUACAGAGCGCGGAGCGGGGCGCAGAGCAGAAGCGCCAGCAGUGUGAUGACAAUCGGAUCGAUUCCGCACCUCCCAGCCCGGUAGCUGCGUUGCUCCGACGCUCUCCUGCAGUCGUCGUGGCAGCUCUGGCUCCGGGUCCCCGAUUGGUCACAGCCCUUUGGGCGCAGCCCCAGUUCCUCCCUCUAGUCUGAGGCCGGAACACUCUGCCCGCGCAGCUCUGAUGCGCCCCGGCAGAAGGCGGGCAAAAUCGCCACAGCAACGCUGGCUUCAGGCUUCCAACUGGGUACCCGUGUCGGUCGCCUUUGCUGCUCCCGAACCAGGCCCUGGCGGAGGGGUAAGAUGCGGUCAACGCCGCGGAGAUGAGGAUCCAACGAGUGUUCCCUUGGCCUGAAUACAAGAGGGUGCCCCGACGGGUGAGCAGAGGCCCCCUUCCGAGGAGAGCCUGGUUGGAUCCUGGUGCAGUAGAGCUUCCGGGGGAAGAAGAGAACUGGGGGAGGGCCUGGAAAAUGUUGGGGGAGCUGGGGGCGCCACGAGUGUGGAGGGAGGCAGUGUUGACUGGAUGAUGGCUCUUAGCCCUCCGGACAUCAUCAGCCAUGCGACGUCCCUUGUUCCCAAAGUACCCCCGGUGUGCCCUUGGUAUGCAGCAGGCACUCAAUAAAUACUUGUGAAUGAACGAA